rnacentral:rRNA from 1 species
GAUGAACGCUGGCGGCGUGCUUAACACAUGCAAGUCGAACGGUGAAGCCCAGCUUGCUGGGUGGAUUAGUGGCGAACGGGUGAGUAACACGUGAGUAACCUGCCCUUAACUCUGGGAUAAGCCUUGGAAACUGUGUCUAAUACCGGAUAGGAGCGUCCACCGCAUAGUGGGGGUUGGAAAGAUUUAUCGGUUGUGGAUGGACUCGCGGCUUAUCAGCUUGUUGGUGAGGUAAUGGCUCACCAAGGCGACGACGGGUAGCCGGCCUGAGAGGGUGACCGGCCACACUGGGACUGAGACACGGCCCAGACUCCUACGGGAGGCAGCAGUGGGGAAUAUUGCACAAUGGGCGAAAGCCUGAUGCAGCAACGCCGCGUGAGGGAUGACGGCCUUCGGGUUGUAAACCUCUUUCAGUAGGGAAGAAGCGAAAGUGACGGUACCUGCAGAAGAAGCACCGGCUAACUACGUG